rnacentral:rRNA from 1 species
GUGAGGAAUAUUGGUCAAUGGGCGGAAGCCUGAACCAGCCAUCCCGCGUGGAGGAAGACGGCCCUAUGGGUUGUAAACUUCUUUUCAAGGGGAAGAAAGUUCGCGACGUGUCGCGAUUUGCCGGUACCUUUGGAAUAAGCAUCGGCUAACUCCGUGCCAGCAGCCGCGGUAAUACGGAGGAUGCGAGCGUUAUCCGGAUUUAUUGGGUUUAAAGGGUGCGUAGGCCGAUCGAUAAGUCAGCGGUGAAAUACCAUGGCCCAACCAUGGAACUGCCGUUGAUACUGUCGGUCUUGAAUAUGGUCAAGGUAGGCGGAAUGUGUAAUGUAGCGGUGAAAUGCUUAGAUAUUACACAGAACACCGAUUGCGAAGGCAGCUUACUGGUCCAUUAUUGACGCUGAGGCACGAAAGCGUGGGGAGCAAACAGGAUUAGAAACCCGUGUAGUCC